GUCAUGGUGUCUCUUCACAGCACUGAAAUCCUAAGACAGUGUUUCAGCCCCAAGAGAAGCAGGUCUCACUGUCUGUCUGGCCAUUAAUACACUUCAGCACAAAGUGAGGACACCUGCUGCCUGUGGACACUGCCACCUUUUAGCUGGGAGUGAUGCUGAAGUCCUGUAAUUCCAGCGCUCACUUUAUAGCUAAGGAAACACACAUUUCACUUGCUCAAGGUCCCACAGACUCGCCAGUUAGUAUCAUCUAGAACCUUCUGUAACUGAAGAUCAGAACACCUGCCCCUCCCCCAACCUCCUGAUUCUACCUCCUGUUAAGUUUUCACUUAGAACUCAUACCUUCUUGUCACCUGGACAAAGUGUAGGGCUUCAACCCUUGUUUAGGAGUCACCUAGAUAUCAGAACCUAGCUUUAAAAUGUUCAUUGCUACUUCAUAACUUUAAUUUUGGUACUGUUAGGAAUCACAAUGUUACAAAUGUGUGUUUUCUGAUUGUUUUAGGUGACUCCUGUUAAAGAGUCACUCAACCUCCCUCCCCAAAGGAGGUUGUGACCCACAGGUGAGAAACAAUGCUUUAAAAGAUCAGGACAGGUUUCAAACUAGAAUCCCAGAACUGAAUGAAAGAAAUUUGUAAAGUCUUCUCAAAUGAGUCAGACUUCUUUGUAGGGAGAGGAUUUUUAUCAUCUUUCAGAAAACUUUCAAAUGCUGAAAAGGCAUCAUGGGAGAGAGAGAGAGGAUGCCACUGGAGUUCACUGUUGGUGAUAUAUUCAAGGAUGUUGACAAAAAGCAAGGGAACAGGAAUAUCUGAGCAUAUGAUAAAACAAUCUGCCCAUCUUAUAUGAUCUGCUAACCAUUAACACUGAUCAUAGGACAGGACACACUUUUUUUUUCCAGGUAACUACACCUUUUGAAGGUGUUUGUGUAUAUUAACAUAAUUGUAUUAUUUUGAAGGGAUUCAUUAAGUGGGCUUCCCCAAUUAGCUUUAACUGUGAACCUGGCUCAGGUUAGAGUUACCCAUGAGGGUUAUCUCAGGUCAGAUUGGCCUAUGAAUAUGUCUGUGGGGGAUUGUCUUGAUUAUUAAUUGGUGUAGGAGGACCCAGCCCACUGUGGGUGGUAGCAUUCCUUAGCCUGUAUGAGAAAGCUACUAAGCAUGAGCCUAGGAGCCAGUCAGCUAGCAGCAUCUUGCAUUGUUCCUGCUGUACUUACUGGUUAUGAGUUAAUUUCCUGGAUUAGACAUAAUGAUAUGUAAAAUAACAAGUUUUCCUGUUUCAGGUUCCUGUCUUGAUUUUCUCCAAUGCGACUGUGUCUGCUAAGUAUAAGUCAAAUCUAUCUUUUCCUUCUCCAUAUUAUUUUUGAUCAGAGUGUUUUUAUCAUGCAACUAGAACACAUGACAUGAUAAUAGACAAUUAGGCUCUUUUAUUUCUUUGCUCUUAGAAACCAAACAACGAUAACAACAAAACCACUGGAGCCAUGAAUGACAUCAAAUGUAUAGUACUUUUUACAUAUUUGGGGUUGAUGAGGGAUAAAUUGUUGAAGAAUUUAGAUGAAAGCUACUUACCUAUAACUGAUUGAUAGUGCCAAGAUUUUACCCUUUCAAAGAUUUUCCAGGUUAUAGCCUUCUAUCAGUAGAUAAAAUUUAUUAUUAUUGUUGGAGUAGGUACAAAUGAUAGUAUAUGUGCUAAUUUAAUUUGAUAUGAUUUUGUUUUUCUUGUGGUAGGGCACAGAAGCCAAGUCCUUACAAUGUUGGAUGUGUUCUCUUUUACUGAGCUUUUGACUAAUUAUGCAUCUUGCCACUGCCUGCACCCCCAUAAUUGCAAACAUAGUUUUAUUUCUGUUUAUAGUCAUGAAUGAAUAUUCAUUUAUGUGAUUAAGAGAUGUGAUAUUUCUUUUGCUCAGAAUUAUCUGUUCAUGAUUUUCCCCCCAUGUAAUAGUUGGUAAUCUUCAGAGGAGUUUAAUGUGUCCUGUGCCUAAAUUGUUUACCUGCAAUCUGAACUGCAAACUCAUUUGUGAAGAUUUUUCCCCAUAAAUAUUUAAUAUAUGAAUGAUGGGACCAUGUAGCAGGAAGCAGUAGAAUCUGGAAGCCUCAGCCUCAUGGUUCUGAGUGUAGAGUCACAGAAGAAAGGGGUUCUAGAGUCAUAGAAGUCAUAGUCAAGUCUAGUGUCGUAGGAGCAAGCUCUUUGUAACUAAGGAAAGUCACUGGACCAGGCAUGUGUCAGAGGUGUCCCUGAAGUUAGGCCCAGAGAGGCUAUGUAUGAAGCUGUGAAGGUGAAGCCUGGUUGCCUUGAAGCCCCAAAGAAACUGAAGAUGCCAGAGCCAUUGUUAUCUGCCAAAGAGACCUGCUAACAGAGAGUGGAAUGUGGACUAGAGAGACAAGAGUGGAGAGCUGGAGAUCUGAAGAGCCUUUUGAUAUCAGAAAUGGAGAUGCUGUGUUUGGAGUUUGCCCAGCUGAGUUUUGGUCUUACUUUGGUCUGGUAUAUCCCCACUGUGCUCCCUUUUUUACAUUUUGGAAUGAUAAUGUAUUUCUCGUGCAAUUAUAUGUUAUGAGUAAGUAGUCUGCUUUUUUGAUUUGGAUUUUAUAGGUGAUUACAGUUAAGAGAUGGUCAAGAGUCUUAAAACAGACUGAGGUUUUAUAGACUAGAGACUGCUAUAGACUGUGGGAACAUUUGAAGUUGGACUAAAUGCCUUUGCUUUCUGACAUAACUAUAAGCCUAUGGAGGUCAGGGAAUAGAAUGUGAUAUUUAGGAUAUAAAGGGCCUCCAUAGGCUCUAGGGAGUGACACUUUAAUUAGGUUGGUUUUCUGUCUCUUUCUGUUGUCUGUAGUUCCAGUUGUGGAAUACUCAGCCAUGCUUCCCAACAUGACAGUAGUGGAUUAUACCUCAAAACCAAACAAGGAUAGUGACUAAAACUGGAGGCAUGAAUGACAUCGGAUGUAUUCCACUUUUUCAUAUUUCGGGAGGAUGAGUGAAAAAUUGUUAAAAAUGGAAUUAAGGUGAAAGCUACUUACCUAUAACUGAUUGAUACUGUCAAGAUUUUCCCCUUUCAGUGAUUUUUCACUUUAUAAUACUCUUUCAGUAGAUAAAAUUUAUUAUUACUUUUGGAGCAGGUACAAAAGAUAGUAUAUGUGCUAGUUUUAAUUUGAUUUCAUUUUGUUUUUGUUGUGAUGAGGGGCAGAAGCCAAGUUCUUAUAAUUGGAUGUGUGCUCUUUUACUGAGUUCUUGACUAAUUAUACAUCUUGUCACUGCCUGCCCCCUACCACUGCACACAUAGUUUUUGUUUCUUUGUUUUUACUCAUGAAUGAACAUUCAUUUAUGUGAUUAAGAGAAGUUAUAUUUCUUUUCCUCAGAAUUAUCUGUUCAUGAAAUUCUUUCCCAUUGUAUAGUUGGUAAUUUUCAGAAGGGUUUAAUGUGUAAUGCCUCUAGAAUGUUUACCUGCAAUCUUGACUGCACAUUUUAAAAACUUACCCUGUGGAGAGAUUUUCAUAUAAGUAUUUUAUUUAUGAAUGAUGGGACCAUGUAGCAGGAAGUUGUAGAACCUGGAAGCUUCAGCCCCGUGGUUCUGAGUGUAGAGUCACAGAAGAAAGGGGUUCUAGAGUCAUAGAAUUCAUAGUCAAGUCUAGUGUCGUAGGAGCAAGCUCUUUGUAACUAAGGAAAGUCCCUGAGGCCAUGCAUGUGUCAGAGGUGUUCCUGAAGGGAGGCUCAGAGAGGCUAUGUAUGAAGCUGUGAAAGUGAAGCCUGGUUGCCUUGGAGCCCUGAAGACACUGAAAAUGCCAGAGCCAUGUGUAUCUUCCAAGGAGACCUGUUAACAGAGAGUGGAACCUAGUCCAAGAGAGCCAAGCAUGGAGUUGGAGAUCUGAAGAGCCUUUUGAUAGCAGAAAUGGAGGUGCAGGCUUUGGAGUUUGUCCAGCUAAGUUUUGGUCUUGCUUUGGUUCAGUAUGUCCCCAUUGUGCUCCCUUUCCUGCAUUUUGAAAUGGUAAUAUAAUUUUUUGUGCCAUUAUAUGUUAGAAGAAAGUGAUCUGCUCUUUUGAUUUUGAUUUUAUAGGAGAUUACAGUUAAGAGAUAGUCAUGAGUCUUAAAACAGACUUUGGGUUUUUAUAGAUUAGAGACUGCUAUAGACUAUGGGAACUUUUAAAGUUGGACUAAAUGCAUUUUGCUUUAUGAUAUAGAUAUAAGCCUAUGGGCGCCAGGAAAUAGAAUAGGAUGAGUUGAAUCAAAAUGGCCCCCAUAGGGACUAGGGUGUGGCACUAUUAGGAGUUUGGACUAUGUCUGGCUUUGUUGGAGAAAGCAUGUCUCAGUCUCUUCCUGUUGUUUGUAGAUGCAGAUGUGGACCUCUCAUCCAUCCUCCCCAACAUGACAGUAGUGGACUAUACCUCGGUAAGUCAGCCCCAAUGAAAUGUUUUCUUUUAUAAGUGUUGCCAUGGUUGUGGUUUGAAUAUUCUUGGCCCAUGGGAAGUAGAACUUAGAGGAAGUGUGGCCUUGUUGGAAUAAGUUUGGCCUUGUUGAAAGGAGUGUUAAUGUGAGUGUGGGCUUUGAAGUCUUCUAGGUUUAAGCUACAUGAAAUGUGCUAUUCCAGUAGUCUCAUGUUGGAGCCUUUGGAUCAAAAUGUAGAACUCUCAGCUCUUCUAACCCAUGUCUGCCUGAACACUGUGAUGCUUUCUGCCAUGGUAAUAACGGACUGUACCUCAGAAAUUGUAAGCCAGCCCCAAUGAAAUGUUGUCCUUUAUAAGAGUUGCCUUGGUCAUGUUGUCUCCUCACAGCACUGAAACCCUAAGACCGUGUUUCAGUGCCAAGAGAAGCAGGUCUCACUAUUUGUCUGGCCCUUAAUGCACUUCAGCACAAAGUGAGGACACCUGCUGCCUGUGGACACUGCCACCUUUAAGCUGGACAUGAUGCUGAAGCCAUCUAGUCCCACUGCUCACUUUAUAGCUAAGGAAGCAUGUUUCACUUGCUCAAGGUCCCAUAGACAUGCCAGUUGGUAUCUUUCUAGAAAGUUCUGUAACUCCAGGUCAGUACACAUGCCCCUCCUCCAACCUCCAUCUCACUCUUAGUUUUUCACUUAGAAAUCUACCUUCAUGGCGUGUGUACAAAGUGUGCACCUUGAACCUUUGUUUUAAAACCACUCAACUAUCAGAACUUAGCUUUAAAAUAAUGGGGAUUUGAUGUCUAAGGCAAUUGGCUUCAUUGAUAAUAAUUUCAUGCAAUAAUUCUGAACUUCAUUUAGUGUUACAUAUGUAGUCACAGCUUAGUGUCACAUACAUUUAAAUAUAGAUUUUCUUCUCUAUAAUCAGAGCCUUAUUUCCUGUUAAAGCACAACCCCUACCUGUUGACCUUGAAACAGAUUGUCCUUUUAUAAUUGUACACUUGUUUGCAUCUAACUCUUCUUGGCUUUUUCUUCACUCCUGACCUUGGUAGGUAGCCUCUACUCUGAACAGAAACGUGCUCUUCGACCUAGACUUUGCACGAACAGAAAGGAGUUGGAGAAACCCCUUUUGCCUGUGAGGUCGGUUAUCUGUUCUGGUUGGUAUUGGUAGGUUUUUCUCCCUAGCUCAAAAUUUACAUUCUAAAUCCUGCUGCAGCAGGGAAUGAUGGCGGAGAAUAAGGAACAUCUGCUCAGAUGCAGGCAUUACUGCGAUGACAGGGUUCCCUGGAGUAGGGUGAUGGGAGCCAGAGGAUGCUCCCAAGGAGAUUUGCAGAGUUAAAAAGUGGCAUCUGUGAAACCUAGUGAGAAUAUAAGGAAUGUGCUGGAACAGAUGGUGUGUGAAGAACACUGGAAUAAAACGGUUCCCUGAAAACCUUUCAAGGAUUAGUAAAUGUGGCAGAGGGAAAAGAGGACAAAAGAUUAAUGACGACUAGAUUGUAUUAUGCAAUUUUCCUGUGUAGCUUUAUACUCUAAAAUGACGAUUUUUUUUUAAAAUGCAGGUCACUAGGGCCCUGUCAUGGCAAAAUUCUGUGGUGUCGAUAAACAUUUUUCCUACAGUGCUCUAAAAGAUGCUUUUUUACUUCAAGGGUUGUUCAUGGAAUUAGAACAGAAAGGCUGAUCCUGAGUGGGUGGAUUUCAGCUUGGGAGAUGUACACGCCUAAAACGUAAAAGUAACAGCUUAAACAAAUGUAUUUAUUACUAUAUUGUUCUUAGCUUAAUGCAGCUCACAUUUUAUUGCAGUCAGCUGAUGUCAGAUAACUAUGGGUGAGGUUUGUAUACUGGACUGAAGAUCAAAGAAAAACCAAGUUAGACAUUAUCAACAAAGGAUUCAUGAAUGGGAGAUUACAGUUGCCAUAGCAACUAUGAGUGUACAAGCCUGGGCUGGGUGCUCAGAAAGCUGAUGACUAAUAAGUAUCAUUCUUUUGAGAAGGUCACAGUUUUCCUUGCCCUUAUAAUUUUUACCUUUGAUUUGUUCUAAAAUUAAUUUGGCAAAAGUUCAUCUUACUGGCUGCUUCUAUAAGAACAUCAAAACGAUGACUGAGUCAAAAUAAUUUAAAGAGAAAUUGUACCUAUUCUUGAGGGUUCCCUGUGGUACACGAAGCUGGAAGAUACAUCUGUAUUUAUACAUCAUUUCCUCCUAAGAUGGGAUACAGGUCAGUUGGCAGCCUGGGGUGAGAGGCACUGCUAAGGUUGCCACCAAGGAUUCCCCCUCGUCCCCUACUGUCCAUGACUUCUUAUUAUGAUUAGAAGAUUAUGAAGUCCAUAUUUCUAGGCUACUAAAAAAAGGAGAAACUAAAGAAAGAGGUAAAAUCAACAAGGGAGACUUUACAGUGAUGUUCUGAAAGGAGACUCUUGCCAACAUCCUCCUUUGGCUGGGCACUAACAUUCCCACUUAGCCUGACUCUCACCUUGUGUAGAUAUAUGACUCUAGAAGAUGCUUAUACCCAAGUUACUCUAAAAAUUUAGAAAUGUAUAUUAUACUAAACGUAUAUUCACCCCCAUGCUUUUUUUAAAAAUAGUGUGUGUGUCUGUGUGUGUCUGUCUGUGUCCUUGUAAACAGAGGGGCACAUGCAUACAGGUGCUUCAGGAGGCUUGUUCAAUAUGGGUGAUGGGUCUUGAUGUUAUGAACUUAUUUAUCCCUGGCUUUCAUACUUUAACUAAGCAUUGUGCCGAGCUGUAUCUCAGCUUAUCUAUCUACCUCAGAUUUUAACACGGAAAUACUUAUUAAUAACUCGUUAAACCGUCAUUCAAAAACUUGUCUUUCUUUCUUUUUUUUUUUAUU
rnacentral:sRNA from 1 species